rnacentral:rRNA from 1 species
AGCGAACGCUGGCGGCAGGCCUAAUACAUGCAAGUCGAGCGCACCUUCGGGUGAGCGGCGGACGGGUGAGUAACGCGUGGGAACGUGCCCUUUGGUACGGGAUAACUGAGGGAAACUUCAGCUAAUACCGUAUGUGCCCUACGGGGGAAAGGUUUAUCGCCAUUGGAGCGGCCCGCUUUGGAUUAGGUAGUUGGUGAGGUAAAGGCUAACCAAGCCUACGAUCCAUAGCUGGUCUGAGAGGAUGAUCAGCCACACUGGGACUGAGACACGGCCCAGACUCCUACGGGAGGCAGCAGUAGGGAAUCUUGCGCAAUGGGCGAAAGCCUGUCGCAGCCAUGCCGCGUGAAUGAUGAAGGUCUUAGGAUUGUAAAAUUCUUUCACCGGGGAAGAUAAUGACGGUACCCGGAGAAGAAGCCCCGGCUAACUUCGUGCCAGCCGCCGCGGUAACAC